GACGAACGCUGGCGGCGUGCUUAACACAUGCAAGUCGAACGAUGAACCACUUCGGUGGGGAUUAGUGGCGAACGGGUGAGUAACACGUGGGCAAUCUGCCCUGCACUCUGGGACAAGCCCUGGAAACGGGGUCUAAUACCGGAUAAUACUCCCGCACUCAUGUGUGGGGGUUAAAAGCUCCGGCGGUGCAGGAUGAGCCCGCGGCCUAUCAGCUUGUUGGUGAGGUAAUGGCUCACCAAGGCGACGACGGGUAGCCGGCCUGAGAGGGCGACCGGCCACACUGGGACUGAGACACGGCCCAGACUCCUACGGGAGGCAGCAGUGGGGAAUAUUGCACAAUGGGCGAAAGCCUGAUGCAGCGACGCCGCGUGAGGGAUGAC
rnacentral:rRNA from 1 species